AAGAUCUUGUUUUUGUGAGAAUACAGAAUAUGAGAAUACUGCUGGAGGACAACAGUUGGGAACAGAUUUUCUUUGAAGAUGGAAUUUAUAGAUUUUACUUCAGUGCUGAGAACUAAAUCAGUUAAAGGAAAAAGGAUUGUGUGAGAGAAACAACAAAUCUAAUCAGAACUAGGAAAGGGCUAUAUUUCUCUUCCAAGAUCUGGCCAGUGCAUCACUUGCUGCAAGAAUGAGUUGUGAUAGUUAACUGCCAGAAGCAGAGGAAAUAUGCCCAUCCCGGGAGAAUUUUGAAGACCAUGCUUCUUGAACCAAGGGCACAGACUGCUUGACCAGUGAGCCGUGUGAUAAAGCACAAACAGCGCAGGAAAUGAAAACCCUAGGAGCAGCAGAUGAUGUGGGCAGGAGGCACAGUGGAUAAAAAUGACUAUGAUGAAAGGUCUAUAGCUGUCCAGGAAAACCCUUCGUUUUGUAGGAGGAGCCAUCUGACCCCCCCCAAUGAAAGUAGAUAUACCUUCUCCAUUGUGUACUCUAAUAAGGCUAACACAGAACCUGGCCUGUAGUGAAGAAAGCCAGCUUCAUUGCAUUCUGACUACACAAAACAAGGACAAGAGGCAGACCUAAAUCUACAGAGGGAACAAGCUGGUGCUUUGGAAUCAGAGAGAGACUGGUCUGGAUGUUUGGGGCAAAAUCAGGAAGCUGAACUUGGUGGAACUUUUGAUCUAGUGCCAACCAUUGUAUUUGAACUCAUCUCUGAUGACCUUAUUAGCUUGGGAUGAAGGAAAAAUGGCACCAUAUAAACAGCUGUCAAGCAUAGUAAUGAGAGCGAAUUUUCUAUGGGUUUGCUGCUGUUUUAUGGCAUCAUAAACCUUUGCUUUGUCAAAAUGUCUACAAUUCAAGAUGCAGCACUUAAAGAAACCCACUGAUCCUGCAUUGUGAUCUGCUGUACCUGCAGGGGUCCCAUCAGCUUCACUGAGGCUCUGUGCACGACCAGCAGUACGCCCACCCAAAUCAUGUGCAUGAUUAGCGCUUAAGAUGAUAACACCGAUUCUGACCAGCAGAGGGAGGAACAGGGAAGUAUAUUGACCUAUCAGCAUUCACAGGGGUUUUAAAUAUGGAAAGUUGCUGAUACAGCCAUGGUUAUUAGGUUUUUAUAACUUGAAAAUUUCUGUCCUUGGACAAUAAUACACUCUAGAUAAAUGGGGAGCCCCCAGCUGAUAAUUAGGCUCACACUACAGCUCACAAAGCUGUAUACCAGUCCUUAAAUGACAGUGUUUGAGGGUGGACUUAGAACAGCUGUGACCUUCUUCUAGUCAGCUCCAAAUGGGUCAUUGAUUUACAUUCAUUGUUGUGUUAUUUGUUUUGUGUGUUAAAUAAUUUAUAGGUUAUUUAUAAUGUGGUGCACUAUAAUGAAGCUGUAGCUUUUUGAUCUCUAAGGUGGCGUUGCUGCCUUUUGUGGAAGCAGAAGGCUUUCAGGGUAAUAAAUCACUAUUAUUCCCACCAAUUCUUUACUGCGCAGAUGUUUUACAACUAACCAAGGAGACAGGGCAUUCAGUAAACUAAAUGGCAUAGCACUUAAAACAUAAAAUAAUUAUAAGGUGUAAGUUGGAAUAAAAAUUAUACCUUUACAGGUUAGGUAAAGAAUCACUAAUAAAACUAAAACAGACAUACAUUAUACAGCAUGAGGUUCAUAAUGAAUAAUUGCUGGGUUAUUAGUGCUUAGCAAAUUAAGGGCACUUCCAUUUAUUACUGUGCUCCACUAAGGAUGAGCAUUAAUUUUUUUUUAAAGCAAAUUCACUGGAAACAGACAGUUUAAAAUUUAUGCUUGUAAUGAUUGCUACAUGGUCCAUUAAGACCACCUCUAAGUGAGCUUAAUUUGUAGCAGAUAAAUGUACAUGUCUACAUAUUUUUCAACAUAGUUUAUGGUUCAUCCUGCACAGCUGUGCCCAACUGAUUAAAUCCUCAAAAAUUUAAAUAGGAAACCCAUUACAUAGACAGUAUUAUAUCCAUUUAUCAUACCCACAUUUUCAGUUUAACUCUCUAAGCUUUGUGUUGGGAUAUUUUCAGGGAUUCAUUAAAUAUGUAUAGUGAUGCAAUUUGGUCUUGUUGUUUUAGUUUGCCCUUUGUUUUUUGAUUAUUUUGUUUGUACCUUCCUUCUUUUCUGUUCUGUUAUCCCCUAUUUAAGAAGUGCAACAAAAAGAACCUCCUCUGUAACAAGCAUUUUGGUAAUAGCCUCUGAGAUGGCGGUAGCUUGCAAGUCAUUUGUGAAGUUCUUGUUCCUAGGUCAGAUCAUUAAAAUAUCCUCAUGAAAUUAGCUUUCCAGGACACUAUUGUCAAUAAAGAUGCAACUAAGGAGUCAAA